rnacentral:sRNA from 1 species
CUCUCUCUCUCUCUCUCUCUCUCUUUUAAUGUAGAGAAGAGAGACCACAU